rnacentral:lncRNA from 1 species
UAAUAAAUGAGGCAAGUGAUCUAGAAGGUCACGUGACAUAACACUUCAUAAAAUUUCAUGAGAGAUUCAUGUACCUGAAAAUAUGAAUGAAGAGAUCUCUAAGUUAUGUAUUUAUGAAAAUUUAUUGGAACUAAUAUAACAUGUUUGUCGACGACAUCUAUGAUAGCACUAAUAUAAUGAGGAUCAUAAAUCUGUCGCCUAUAGAUACAAAAGUAUUGGCCAAAUGGAAGAGAUACAAUUCA